CAAAUGGUAGCUAUGGCAAAGAUUGUAACGGAUCCUGCGCAAACAGACAUUGUCUUGGAAACUCGACAUGUGAUCAUGUGACUGGAACAUGUGUCUAUGGCUGUGAUCGGGGAUAUGAACAACCAGACUGCACUAUGAACUGCAGUGGUGCCUAUGGCUUCAACUGUAAUAUGUCUUGUAGCUCUCGGAACUGUUCCAACGCGUCCUCAAAAUGUGACCAGUUUUAUGGAAACUGCACAGGGAAAUGCUUGGAUGGAUUUGAAUUACCAGACUGUGCAACUGCAUGUCGCGGUGGGACGUUUGGAUCUGGGUGUAAAUUAAGAUGCAGUGAACGACAUUGUGAUGGAGACAAUAAAACGUGUGAUGCAAAAAUCGGAACAUGUCAACAUGGCUGUACGCCAGGAUGGAAGAAAGAAAAUUGUACUGAACACAUACAUCCUAGUGACUCGUCAGGUAGUGUGAAAAUUCAGAACACGUUAACUGAUUAAAAACAGAAGCCGCUAGAAUGUUGGACGAAUUUGAAGAUCUGUAUACACUCAGAGUAGGCGCUGGUCCAGAAGAAGGAUGCUGGACAUGUGUAUCUCCCCAAUUGUGAACAUGCGACACUGGUCUGUAUGGCGCCGAUUGUUCGUCUGUCUGCACAAGAAGACACUGUCUGAAUAAAGCUGCGAAAUGUGAUCACUCGACUGGUUCAUGUGGAGGAGGGUGUGAGGGAUCCUGGAAAGGAGAAGACUGUACAGAGACUGACUCUGCAAUAGAUGCAUUGCUUAUUAGUAGCAUUGUUGUUGCUGUUGCUGUCGCUAUCAUCGUGGUCGUCAUCGUGGUGGUGUUUGUCAGGUAAUCAGAUAUUUUAUAGUACACUAUAGACACCGCAGCUAUCUGGACUGUCUGUCCAGAACAGUGGAUUAGUGAGUAGGUUUUAUGGUAAGUGAGAAGGAAGAUGGUGUAGUGGUCUUACACCUGCCG